rnacentral:rRNA from 1 species
AUCCAGCCAUACCGCGUGGGUGAAGAAGGCCUUCGGGUUGUAAAGCCCUUUUGUUGGGAAAGAAAUCCAGCCGGUUAAUACCUGGUUGGGAUGACGGUACCCAAAGAAUAAGCACCGGCUAACUUCGUGCCAGCAGCCGCGGUAAUACGAAGGGUGCAAGCGUUACUCGGAAUUACUGGGCGUAAAGCGUGCGUAGGUGGUUGUUUAAGUCUGUUGUGAAAGCCCUGGGCUCAACCUGGGAACUGCAGUGGAAACUGGACAACUAGAGUGUGGUAGAGGGUAGCGGAAUUCCCGGUGUAGCAGUGAAAUGCGUAGAGAUCGGGAGGAACAUCCAUGGCGAAGGCAGCUACCUGGACCAACACUGACACUGAGGCACGAAAGCGUGGGGAGCAAACAGGAUUAGAUACCCUG